UAAAAGUAAUUCCCCAACUCUAGCCUAACUCCCAAAAGUCCAAACUAAGAAACUCAACGCAUGACAUUCCCUCAGGCAGAAGGAUUGGUUCCAAAUGGGACUAUGACCCAAUUUGUUGCAAUAAAACAUAAGGGAGAGUUUCAGGGGGCUAAUUAGGGAGAGACUCUGUUGCUCUUUGAGAGCUAGUGGAGAAGACACUCUUCCUCUGGUCUGCAUAGGAUGUAGAUGUGAAUGCUGGAACUGCAGCGGUUACUUUGCCAUUAUGAAAAGAGCUGGCUUGAUAAUGAAGCCAAUAUACUGAGAAGAGCAGAACUGGGAGAGUCAUCACAGAGAAAGAGAUCUGACUGAAGUCCUUUCUCCAGGAGAGUAGGGCUUCGUUAUAAGAACACUCUGGGCUUGUUUCACAAGGGUUACUCUUCCCCUCCCCUUGCCGGGUCUGCAGGGGAAUUUUCUCAAAUCAUUAUUAGGAGAACCUGGUGGGUUUCCUGAAGGGCAAGCCUAUAAAUGUGAGACUGAAGUGUCCAAGUGUUUCUUACUCUCAAGGUAAGCAGACCUCUCCUGUGAUGUUCUGGAUAUGCCUGUCUCAACAGAUUUCAGGGUGGCCGUCUUCUCUGCAAAUUCAGUUCUCUGAUGUGUCCAAGGGUCUUGUUCAAGCAAUCCUCAUGCCUCCUGAGUAGCUGGGACUACAGGUGUGCACCACCACACCCAGUUCCAGGGACUAAAUCUUGAAACAAACCAGUUGAUUGUGGAUUUCUCCCCUACCUGGAAAUUACCUCAAGGCUAGAGUUAAUUUACAACCCAGCUGUAACCAAGACUUUGCCAGCCCAUUCACCAGAUGGAACAAAAACUCAAGAUGGUCGUCAGAACAAGUCACAUAGACCAGCACCUCCUUGGCCACUCCUGCAUGCCCCUCAAGCCAAGUUUUCCUUUCUUAUCCUCUAUACUCAGCCCAAAAGUUGAAAUGGUUUAUUCAAGGUAUGAGCCUGGCCAUUUCCUCAAUUGCUAGCUUUUGCAAUUAAAGUCACGGUCCUU